rnacentral:rRNA from 1 species
UUUGACGGACAACUAAUUGAUUUGUUUGACCUCAAAUCAGGUAGGACUACCCGUGAA